rnacentral:rRNA from 1 species
UACGAAGGGGGCUAGCGUUGCUCGGAAUUACUGGGCGUAAAGGGCGCGUAGGCGGUCGGGUAAGUCUGAUGUGAAAUCUCACAGCUUAACUGUGAAACUGCAUUGGAUACUAUUCGGCUUGAGAGUUGGAGGGGGGACUGGAAUUCUUGGUGUAGCAGUGAAAUGCGUAGAUAUCAAGAGGAACACCAGUGGCGAAGGCGGCUCACUGGCCCGGUACUGACGCUGAGGUGCGAAAGCGUGGGGAGCAAACAGG